GAUGAAGAACGUAGCGAAAUGCGAUAAGUAAUGCGAAUUGCAGAAUUCAGUGAGUCAUCGAAUCUUUGAACGCACAUUGCGCCCCUUGGCAUUCCGAGGGGCACACCUGUUCGAGCGUCAUUUCACCAGUCAAGCUUCGCUUGGUCUUGGGCCGCGCCGCGCAAGCGGCUGGCCUCGAAAACAGUGGCGGCGCCAUCUGGGCUCUCAGCGUAGUAAUUCUUCUCGCUGUUGAGCUCCGGUGGUCGCCCGCCAGCAACCCCCAACUUUUACAGUUUGACCUGGGAUGAGGUAGGGAUACCCGCUGAACUUAAGCAUAUCAAUAAGCGGAGGA
rnacentral:misc_RNA from 1 species